rnacentral:rRNA from 1 species
CAGAUGAACGCUGGCGGCAGGCCUAACACAUGCAAGUCGAGCGGUAGCACAGGAGAGCUUGCUCUCGGGUGACGAGCGGCGGACGGGUGAGUAAUGUCUGGGAAACUGCCUGAUGGAGGGGGAUAACUACUGGAAACGGUAGCUAAUACCGCAUAACGUCGCAAGACCAAAGUGGGGGACCUUCGGGCCUCAUGCCAUCAGAUGUGCCCAGAUGGGAUUAGCUAGUAGGUGGGGUAAUGGCUCACCUAGGCGACGAUCCCUAGCUGGUCUGAGAGGAUGACCAGCCACACUGGAACUGAGACACGGUCCAGACUCCUACGGGAGGCAGCAGUGGGGAAUAUUGCACAAUGGGCGCAAGCCUGAUGCAGCCAUGCCGCGUGUAUGAAGAAGGCCUUCGGGUUGUAAAGUACUUUCAGCGAGGAGGAAGGCAUUAAGGUUAAUAACCUUAGUGAUUGACGUUACUCGCAGAAGAAGCACCGGCUAACUCCGUGCCAGCAGCCGCGGUAAUACGGAGGGUGCAAGCGUUAAUCGGAAUUACUGGGCGUAAAGCGCACGCAGGCGGUUUGUUAAGUCAGAUGUGAAAUCCCCGGGCUCAACCUGGGAACUGCAUUUGAAACUGGCAAGCUUGAGUCUUGUAGAGGGGGGUAGAAUUCCAGGUGUAGCGGUGAAAUGCGUAGAGAUCUGGAGGAAUACCGGUGGCGAAGGCGGCCCCCUGGACAAAGACUGACGCUC